rnacentral:lncRNA from 1 species
AAUUGUGACUGGGGAUUUGAAGGCUGUGCUGAUAGAGAGGCCAGGCUCACAGCUGUUUGUGUUUUAGGGUGAUCCGGGGCUCGUUGGACCUGAGGGGUUAGCCGGUGAGCCAGGCCCCCCGGGGUCACCAGGUCCUCCAGGGAUAGGAUUUCCAGGGAAAACGGGUGACCCCGGUGGCCCCCCAGGUCCUGCAGGAGAAAAAGGUAACUCCGGAUCUCCUGGACCGGGAGGUUCAACCGGG